rnacentral:rRNA from 1 species
ACGGAAGGCAGCAGUGGGGAAUAUUGGACAAUGGGGGAAACCCUGAUCCAGCGACGCCGCGUGAGUGAAGAAGUAUUUCGGUAUGUAAAGCUCUAUCAGCAAGGAAGAAAAUGACGGUACUUGACUAAGAAGCUCCGGCUAAAUACGUGCCAGCAGCCGCGGUAAUACGUAUGGAGCAAGCGUUAUCCGGAUUUACUGGGUGUAAAGGGAGCGUAGACGGCAAAGCAAGUCUGAAGUGAAAUCCCGGGGCUCAACCCCGGAACUGCUUUGGAAACUGCCGGGCUCGAGUACCGGAGGGGCAGGCGGAAUUCCUGGUGUAGCGGUGAAAUGCGUAGAUAUCAGGAAGAACACCGGUGGCGAAGGCGGCCUGCUGGACGGUAACUGACGUUGAGGCUCGAAAGCGUGGGGAGCAAACAGGAUUAGAUACCCUGGUA